CACAUGGUUCUGUAGGUCACAUGGUUCUGUAGGUCACAUGGUGCUGUAGGUCACAUGGUUCUGUAGGUCAUUGAGCUGGGUUCUGUAGGUCACAUGGUUCUGUAGGUCCCAUGGUUCUUUAGGUCACAUGGUUCUGUAGGUCACAUGGUUCUGUAGGUCCCACGGUGCUGUAGGUCACAUGGUGCUGCAGGUCACAUGGUUCUGGGGCUCACCGUGUCGGCGUCGAUGUAGAUGGUGGGGCAGUCCGAGCAGGUGGUCAGCAUCUGGGAGGAGCGGAGAAACUUGGAGCCGAUCCCCCGCAGCCCCUCCCCCAGGUAGGUGGCUGCGUCCGUGGUCAGCGUGCAGAACUUCCCCUGGAUGUUCUGGGAGCCAGCAGGACGCCACGUUAAGGCAGUGUGUUUGAUUGGUCCCACUCAAGAACACACGGCUUUGAUAAAACAUAGGAAUGAAAAGCCAUUGCCUUUCCACU
ensembl:lncRNA